rnacentral:rRNA from 1 species
GGGUAGUUUGACUGGGGCGGUCGCCUCCUAAAGAGUAACGGAGGCGUUCAAAGGUACACUCAAUACGGUCAGAAACCGUAUGCAGAGCGCAAAGGUAGAAGUGUGCUUGACUGUGAGACUUACAAGUCGAGCAGGUGCGAAAGCAGGACUUAGUGAUCCGGCUGUACAUUGUGGAAUGGCAGUCGCUCAACGGAUAAAAGUUACCCUGGGGAUAACAGGCUUAUCUUGCCCAAGAGAUCACAUCGACGGCAAGGUUUGGCACCUCGAUGUCGGCUCAUCGCAUCCUGGAGCUGGAGUCGGUUCCAAGGGUUGGGCUGUUCGCCCAUUAAAGCGGUACGCGAGCUGGGUUCAGAACGUCGUGAGACAGUUCGGUCCCUAUCUGAUGUGGGCGUUGGAAUAUUGAUGAGAGCCGUUUUUAGUACGAGAGGACCGAAACGGACGUACCACUGGUGUUCCAGUUGUUCCGCCAGGAGCAUAGCUGGGUAGCUAAGUACGGAAAGGAUAACCGCUGAAAGCAUCUAAGUGGGAAGCCUCCUCA